rnacentral:lncRNA from 1 species
UUGGUUGUAAAAGUUGUGGUAUUUUUACUGAACUUUUUUUAAAGUUACUCGUUGGAAUUGGAAAAUUGUCCAAAUUUUUAUAGAAAAGAUAGAUUAAAUAAAUUUUCAAUGUGCAAGGAAAGAAAAAUGAUAUAACCUGGAAGCAUAGCAGCUGUGUUGUUAUGUACAUCUAGAAUAGAUUAUUAUGCGGAUCCUUUUAAUUAUAGUAUAAAGUACAUGUAGAAUAGAUUAUUAUGUCGGUCCUUUUAAUUAUAGUUAUAUAUUUUCUAGUCCCCAACUAAUUUAUAAGAUAGAAGGCUUGUUGAGUUCAGAUGUUCUCUGAAUCAUAUUUUUAUGUUUGCGAAGGUGGUUAUUGCAGGGUAUUUUAAAUUGUAGAGGGGUUGUAUUUGGAAUAGUUUGCUCAGUUUAGGAGGGUAUUUUGAAUUAAUUUUUUAUUAGGUCUUUUUAUUUCCAAAUAUGGGGAUCUGAGUUUUUAAAAAUUUCUGGCAUGAAUUCUAAUUGAAGGGGGGGUAAUCAGGG